AGUGAACGCUGGCGGCGUGCUUAACACAUGCAAGUCGAACGAGAACGGAAUAUAGCUUGCUAUAUUUGUCAGCUAAGUGGCGCACGGGUGAGUAAUGUAUAGAUAACCUGCCCUUAAGAAAGGAAUAACAGUUGGAAGCGACUGCUAAUGCCCUAUAUGCCUUUAAUACAUAAGUAUGCAAGGGAAACGCUUUAGUGCUUAAGGAUGGGUCUGUAUGGUAUCAGCUUGUUGGUGAGGUAAUGGCUCACCAAGGCUAUGACGCCUAACUGGUUUGAGAGGAUGAUCAGUCACACUGGAACUGAGACACGGUCCAGACUCCUACGGGAGGCAGCAGUGGGGAAUAUUGCACAAUGGACGAAAGUCUGAUGCAGCAACGCCGCGUGGAGGAUGUCACAUUUCGGUGCGUAAACUCCUUUUAUAUAGGAAGAUAAUGACGGUACUAUAUGAAUAAGCACCGGCUAACUCCGUGCCAGCAGCCGCAGUAA
rnacentral:rRNA from 1 species